AUUGAACGCUGGCGGCAUGCCUUACACAUGCAAGUCGAACGGCAGCGGGGGAGAAGCUUGCUUUUCCUGCCGGCGAGUGGCGAACGGGUGAGUAAUACAUCGGAACGUGCCCUGUAGUGGGGGAUAACUAUCCGAAAGGUUAGCUAAUACCGCAUACGACCUGAGGGUGAAAGGGGGGGACCGCAAGGCACCAUGCUAUAGGCGCGGGCGAGGUCUGAUUAGCUAGUUGGUGGGGUAAAGGCCUACCAAGGCGACGAUCAGUAGCUGGUCUGAGAGGACGAUCAGCCACACUGGGGCUGAGACACGGCCCAGACUCCUACGGGAGGCAGCAGUGGGGAAUUUUGGACAAUGGGCGAAAGCCUGAUCCAGCAAUGCCGCGUGUGUGAAGAAGGCCUUCGGGUUGUAAAGCACUUUUGUCCGGAAAGAAAUGGCUCUGGUUAAUACCUGGGGUCGAUGACGGUACCGGAAGAAUAAGGACCGGCUAACUACGUGCCAGCCGCCGCAGUAA
rnacentral:rRNA from 1 species